UACGUAGGGGGCAAGCGUUGUCCGGAUUUAUUGGGCGUAAAGAGCGUGUAGGCGGCCAGGUAGGUCUGCUGUGAAAACUCGAGGCUCAACCUCGAGAUGUCGGCGGAAACCAUCUGGCUAGAGUCCGGAAGAGGAAAGUGGAAUUCCUGGUGUAGCGGUGAAAUGCGUAGAUAUCGUAAGGAAGACCAGUGGCGAAGGCGGGUCUCUGGACAGUUCCUGACGCUGAGGCACGAAGGUCAGGGGAGCAAACGGG
rnacentral:rRNA from 1 species